GGGGUUGUGGCUCACUGGUAGAGUACUUGCCUAGCAUGCAUGAGGCACUGAGUUUGAUCCUCAGCACCA
rnacentral:tRNA from 1 species